rnacentral:rRNA from 1 species
UACGUAGGGUGCAAGCGUUGUCCGGAAUUAUUGGGCGUAAAGCGCACGCAGGCGGUCGCGCGCGUGGGGUGUGAAAACUGGCGGCUUAACUGCCAGAGGCCAUCCCAUACGGCGCAACUCGAGCCAUGCAGAGGUCCACGGAAUUGCCGGUGUAGUGGUGAAAUGCGUAGAGAUCGGGAGGAACACCCAGGGGGAAACCAGUGGACUGGGCAUGUGCUGACGCUCAGGUGCGAAAGCGUGGGGAGCGAACAGG